CGCCUGGCCCAGAGUGGGAUCUUAAAGCAGAGUCUGGCUCAAGAUUGAGACAAUUCCCAGCAGAAUGAAUGGAGCAGUAACACAGUCAGAAGGCCCUGAGGGAGGCAGGUGGCUCUCUCUGUUCCUGCCAGCACUCUCUCCCCCACUUCUGAUAACAGACCUGCCGUACCAUGGGAAGAUGGCCAAAAAUGGCCGCCCACGGUACUUGUUCCUCGGCUACAGUAAUUGGUCCAUGUGUAGGCAUGUGACCCAUCAUGACCAAUCAUAGCAGCCCACUUCUGAGCGGGGGCACAGCAAUUGUUCCAGGUGUAGUCAUGUGACUCAAGCAGGGCGAAUUCAGGAUUGUCUGCAGAGCUUGUGGGGAGGAUGUUUCUUUCUCUCCCUCCUCCUCUCUGGCAUCCAGGCCUUAAAGAGGUAGACUUGGCACUACCAGUGGCCUCAGACAAUAAGGCCAAUAAGCAGAGAGGAGGAGAAAUGAAACAUGAGGUGAGGGGGUUAGGACAGGAAGAGAACCCAGAGCUUCCAGUCCCUGGAUCCUAGAGAGCAAUACAGCCUCUUCCCUUUCCUCAUCGUAGCUACCCAGUGAAUAAAUCCCUCGUUCUACCUCAUUCAGAUCAACUUCAGUGCCUGUUGUUUGCAACCCACAGUGUCCCAAUUCAGGACUUGGGAACUGUUUUCCUUUUCAUGGAUUGUGUAGAACUGAAAGGGAUACGUCAUUCUCAGAACUUAUAUUCUUGUUCCGAUGUGCCAGCUGUACUUAAAAAUAAAAGAAUCCCAGACCCAUCUCCAUGUUCACCACCACCCCUCCUGUUAAUUUCCUGCUGAAUUGCAGCUCAACGCAUGUGCUGGGAUUUCAAGUCCUGCCCUAAUCAAUUUACUACCACCUCCCCAACCUUAACCCCAACCUACACGCACCUUCCUACGCUGGCCUGUGCGUGCAGCCUGCCCUGGCCUCUACUGUGACGCCUACCACGUUAUAUUUGUAAUGAUUUGUUUAUGACUGUCCCCAUACUAGGGAAGGCAUCGAGCUUGAGGAAGAGGCCCCAUUCAUCUCCGUACCCCAGGCCCUGGUACACAGCAGCUCCAGGCGGGCACGCAUCUUUGUUGUGUUCUCUGCUGACUAUAUCCUCAGCACCUAGAACUGUGUCUGUCACCUAAUAGAUGCUCAAUAAACCUGCCAGUAAUUUCAGCAAAUGAAACGUGGAACACGUCAAGGCCAGAGGAUGGAAAAGGCUCCAGUUUUGAUAAAAGGAGGCCUGCUUGGCUUGGAAUCCUCUCUCCUGCUGGUUGGGAGAUGCAAAGAUGUUUCCAGAGAGGGGCUGAUGAAUUGAGGGGAAAGAAAUGAGCCCAGUAUGAGUCCCCUUUCAGGGCUGAGCGUGUAUAAAACCAAACAACUUGGAACCGCUCCAAGAGAGGGGAUUAAAGCAACAUGUUAUUCUGAGUGAUUGCUUAAUUUAUUGAGCUGCGGCUGGAUCUGUAAUGAAAUACAGCCCUUGUAACUGAUAACCUCCUGCUGCCAUUGAACUUCUACAAUUAAGGAAUAUUUUCUGAGUUUCUCUGGAACGGCUCUGAAUUUUUAGCCUCUGUGGUAGGGUGCUUCUGAACAUUUGUUUUCCAGGCAAUUUUUUUUGAGUAUUAGGCUGAUGUUAAUAAAUAAGCAGCAUUUUAUUGAGUG
rnacentral:lncRNA from 1 species